rnacentral:misc_RNA from 1 species
CAUAGCAGUAACAGUCUUCCUCCUAGCAUGUUCUGUGUAGGUAACAGAAUCACGAAUCACGUUCUCCAAAAAGAUCUUAAGAACACCUCUUGUCUCUUCAUAAAUCAACCCACUGAUUCUCUUCACUCCACCUCUUCUUGCCAACCUCCUAAUAGCAGGCUUGGUGAUACCCUGGAUGUUGUCACGAAGGAUCUUGCGGUGACGCUUCGCGCCACCCUUUCCGAGACCCUUUCCACCCUUUCCACGUCCAGACAUAACGAGCUUGAAGUUGCGAGACUGUUGAGAGAGGAAGCUGGAGGUUGUGUGGGGAGUGAAGAAGGAGAA